rnacentral:rRNA from 1 species
AGAGUUUGAUCCUGGCUCAGGACGAACGCUGGCGGCGUGCCUAACACAUGCAAGUCGAACGUGAAGCCGGUGCUUGCACCGGUGGAAAGUGGCGAACGGGUGAGUAACACGUGAGAAACCUGCCCUGGAGACCGGGACAACCAUUGGAAACGAUGGCUAAUACCGGAUGCCCUCAGAUGGUCGCAUGACCGACUGAGGAAAUGCUCUGGCGCUCUAGGAGGGUCUCGCGGCCUAUCAGCUAGUUGGUGGGGUAACGGCCUACCAAGGCAUCGACGGGUAGCUGGUCUGAGAGGACGAUCAGCCACACUGGGACUGAGACACGGCCCAGACUCCUACGGGAGGCAGCAGUGGGGAAUAUUGCGCAAUGGGCGAAAGCCUGACGCAGCAACGCCGCGUGAGGGAUGACGGCUUUCGGGUUGUAAACCUCUUUCAGUGAUGACGAAAAUGACGGUAAUCACAGAAGAAGGACCGGCCAACUACGUGCCAGCAGCCGCGGUAACACGUAGGGUCCAAGCGUUGUCCGGAUUUAUUGGGCGUAAAGAGCUCGUAGGCGGUUGCGUAAGUCGGAUGUGAAAACUCAGGGCUCAACCCUGAGACGCCAUCUGAUACUGCGCUGACUAGAGUCCGGUAGAGGAGCAUGGAAUUCCUGGUGUAGCGGUGAAAUGCGCAGAUAUCAAGAGGAACACCAACGGCGAAGGC